UGGGCUUGACAUGAUAGUAGUACCAACCUGAAAGGGAAGGGAUCCGCCUUUGGCGGAAGCUAUCAC
rnacentral:rRNA from 1 species